AGUGAACGCUGGCGGUAGGCCUAACACAUGCAAGUCGAACGGCAGCACAGUAAGAGCUUGCUCUUACGGGUGGCGAGUGGCGGACGGGUGAGGAAUACAUCGGAAUCUACUUUUUCGUGGGGGAUAACGUGGGGAAACUUACGCUAAUACCGCAUACGACCUACGGGUGAAAGCAGGGGAUCUUCGGACCUUGCGCGAUUGAAUGAGCCGAUGUCGGAUUAGCUAGUUGGCGGGGUAAAGGCCCACCAAGGCGACGAUCCGUAGCUGGUCUGAGAGGAUGAUCAGCCACACUGGAACUGAGACACGGUCCAGACUCCUACGGGAGGCAGCAGUGGGGAAUAUUGGACAAUGGGCGCAAGCCUGAUCCAGCCAUACCGCGUGGGUGAAGAAGGCCUUCGGGUUGUAAAGCCCUUUUGUUGGGAAAGAAAAGCAGCAGGUUAAUACCCCGCUGUUCUGGCGGUACCCAAAGAAUAAGCACCGGCUAACUUCGUG
rnacentral:rRNA from 1 species